AGUUGUUGCAGUUAAAAAGCUCGUAGUUGAAUUUCGGGAUUGACACAUCGGUCGUGCCUUAAGGGGUAUGAACUGGUGUAGUCAAUUUCUCACCUUCUGGAGAACCGCGAUGCCCUUAAUUGGGUGUCACGGGGAACCAGGACCUUUACUUUGAAAAAAUUAGAGUGUUUAAAGCAGGCAUUUUGCUUGAAUACAUUAGCAUGGAAUAAUAAAAUAGGACGGCAUGAUUCUAUUUUGUUGGUUUCUAGGAUCACCGUAAUGAUUAAUAGGGAUAGUUGGGGGCAUUAGUAUUCAAUUGUCAGAGGUGAAAUUCUUGGAUUUAUUGAAGACUAACUACUGCGAAAGCAUUUGCCAAGGAUGUUUUCAUUAAUCAAGAACGAAAGUUAGGGGAUCGAAGACGAUCAGAUACCGUCGUAGUCUUAACCAUAAACUAUGCCGACUAGGAAUCAGACGAUGUUAAUUUUUUAAUGACUCGU
rnacentral:rRNA from 1 species